CAAUAGCGUAUAUUUAAGUUGCUGCAGUUAAAAAGCUCGUAGUUGGAUUUCGGGUGGGAAUGGCCGGUCCGCCGUUUCGGUGUGCACUUGCUACGCCCACCUUGCUGCCGGGGACGUGCUCUUGAGUUCACGCUCGGGACACGGAGUCGGCGAGGUUACUUUGAGUAAAUUAGAGUGUUCAAAGCGGGCUUACGCUUGAAUAUUUCAGCAUGGAAUAACACUAUAGGACUCCUGUCCUAUUUCGUUGGUCUCGGGACGGGAGUAAUGAUUAAGAGGAACAGUUGGGGGCAUUCGUAUUUCAUUGUCAGAGGUGAAAUUCUUGGAUUUAUGAAAGACGAACUUCUGCGAAAGCAUUUGCCAAGGAUGUUUUCAUUAA
rnacentral:rRNA from 1 species